UUUUUACCAAAAAAAAGAGGGAUUCAACACGAGGACUUUCUGGGAGGUCACUCAUCCUAUUACUACUCUCGCCCAAGCACACUUAACUGCGGAGUUCUGAUAGGAUCCA
rnacentral:sRNA from 1 species